rnacentral:rRNA from 1 species
UAGUACGCUAGGGGUAUGCCUUAACUUGCAUGUCGUACCGGGGUAUCCGUAAGUCGUCUGACGUAUGCCUAACGGGUGAGUAAUACAUCGGAACGUGCCCAGUCGUGGGGGAUAACUACUCGAAAGAGUAGCUAAUACCGCAUACGAUCUGAGGAUGAAAGCGGGGGACCUUCGGGCCUCGCGCGAUUGGAGCGGCCGAUGGCAGAUUAGGUAGUUGGUGGGAUAAAAGCUUACCAAGCCGACGAUCUGUAGCUGGUCUGAGAGGACGACCAGCCACACUGGGACUGAGACACGGCCCAAACUCCUACGGGAGGCAGCAGUGGGGAAUUUUGGACAAUGGGCGAAAGCCUGAUCCAGCAAUGCCGCGUGGAGGAUGAAGGCCUUCGGGUUGUAAACUGCUUUUGUACGGAACGAAAAAGCUCCUUCUAAUACAGGGGGCCCAUGACGGUACCGUAAGAAUAAGCACCGGCUAACUACUGCCACCAGCCGCGGUAAUACGUAGGGUGCGAGCGUUAAUCGGAUUACUGGGCGUAAAGCGUGCGCGGCGGUUAUGUAAGACAAAUGUGAAAUCCCCGGGCUCACCUGGGAACUGCAUUUGUGACUGCAUGGCUAGAGUACGGUAGAGGGGAUGGAAUUCCCCGUGUACAUUGAAUGCGUAAAUAUGCGGAGGAACAC